AUUAAAGGGUGAUUAGGGAAUAUACAGUGGGAGAUAUUAAAGGGUGAUUAGGAAAUAUACAGUAGGAGAUAUUAAAGGGUGAUUAGGAAAUAUACAGUAGGAGAUAUUAAAGGGUGAUUAAAGUAAUUAAAGCAAUGAGAUGUUAUAAUGUUUAAAAUAUUAGAAGUUUAGGAUGUAAGGGGGGUUAGGAGUUAGGUAGGAGUUAAUAAAUUAGAUUGGAGUGAGAUUAUAAUUGAGUGGAGUAAGGAAGGUUGUUUAAAAAUGUAUGUUUUAAAAGUUAAAGUUAAUGAAGUAUAUAAAAGGGUGCUAGUUUGAUCCAGAAAGGUCAGAGCAGCCAGGAGGUUGAACCAUACGUCCUGCUUAGGUGAGAAAACGGCGGGGGUUAGGGGGUGCUGAAAAAACAACCUUUUGAGCAAUGCCCGCUUUGGGUGUGACCCACUGAGUGCGUAAUUUGAGCAUGUGUUAGCCACAAAGAGUUAGCAGAAAGGAAGGAGAUUAGCAGGCAUGCUAGAAGAACCGGUCACCUGCAGGAAGAAGAUAUUUGCUGUAGCUUUUUAGCUUAAAUUAUAUCUAGAUUUUUAUUAUAUUCAUAUUUUUAUUGUACUUAGUUAAAGUAAAAUUAUAGGAGGAAUUCUUAAGGUUACCUCAUUGAUAGAAGUGUGUUAAAGUAGUUGUUAGAGGGUUUUUUUACACCGUCUGAGGGACUGAUCAUCCUGAGGCGUGAGACAAAAAACUGUUUAUGAAGUUGUAGAAGGUGUACGGCCUGUUGGACGACCUGGCCAAUCAACUGUGGAUAGUGCUGCAGCACGCCAUGGGCAAGGCUGGAGGCCGCAGCGAAGCUGGUGCAGUGCUUCCCAACACAUUACAACACCUUGACAGGUUAAUCAAGCUCUACCACAACACUGUGUCCAUGAGGGUGCAGGAACUGGCUGCAGAGGACAUGACGGCCAACAGCAUUGUGUCCCUUCUCACCUGGUUCCUCAAUUAAUACUUACAAAAGUUUAUCUGCCCAGCUUAGACCACUGAGGUAUAAUAACAACUGGAGACUGCGUCCAAGAUGUCCAACCUUAGUUUUUCAAGGUAAUCUACUAGCGUUUGUAUACGCCGAUACAUGGACUGUCUAUAUCUGGGUUGUAUCCAGGUUAUAAGGAGCAACAUCUCAUGUGCACUAGCAUCAAGUUCCGGUCAUAGCAACUUUGAUCAAGGGUGGAGGAAAUGGCAUCCCUUGAGAGGGCAAGAACGAAAUGUAUGUUAGGAGAAGUGCAAUAUUAUCACAAGGAGAUGUAUACGUGGAAU